GUAUUUCGCCUACGUAGGUGACCUGCGGAGGAUCAUUA
rnacentral:rRNA from 1 species